rnacentral:rRNA from 1 species
UACGGAGGAUGCAAGCGUUAUCCGGAAUGAUUGGGCGUAAAGCGUCCGCAGGUGGCUGUGUAAGUCUGCUGUUAAAGAGUCUAGCUCAACUAGAUAAAGGCAGUGGAAACUACACGGCUAGAGUGCGUUCGGGGCAGAGGGAAUUCCUGGUGUAGCGGUGAAAUGCGUAGAUAUCUGGAGGAAUACCGGUGGCGAAGGCGGCAUCCUGGACCAUUACUGACGCUGAGGCGCGAAAGCUAGGGGAGCAAACGGG